CGAGGGGUUCCCCCAGGAUUUGGGGGUCCCUCAGGACUGGGAGUUCUCCCCUGGGAUUUCGGGUCUCCCAGGGGAUUUUCUGGGGGUCCCCCGGGUGUUUUUUGGGUCCCUCAGGAUUUUUGGGGUCCCCCGGGGUUUUUUGGGGUCCCUCAGGAUUUUUGGGGUUCCCCGGGGAUUUUUUGGGGUCCCCCGGGGUUUUUUGGGGUCCCUCAGGAUUUUUGGGGUUCCCCGGGGUUUUUUGGGGUUCCCCCGGAGUUUUUGGGGUCCCUCAAGACUCGAGGGGC